CCUACGGGUGGCAGCAGUGAGGAAUAUUGGGCAAUGGACGAGAGUCUGAACCAGCCAAGUAGCGUGAAGGAUGACUGCCCUAUGGGUUGUAAACUUCUUUUAUAAAGGAAUAAAACGAGGCACGUGUGCCUUUUUGCAUGUACUUUAUGAAUAAGGAUCGGCUAACUCCGUGCCAGCAGCCGCGGUAAUACGGAGGAUCCGAGCGUUAUCCGGAUUUGUUGGGUUUAAAGGGAGCGUAGAUGGGUUGUUAAGUCAGUUGGGAAAGUUUGCGGCCCAACCGUAAAAUUGCAAUUGAUACUGGCAGUCUUGAGUACAGUUGAGGUAGGCGGAAUUCGUGGUGUAGCGGUGAAAUGCUUAGAUAUCACGAAGAACCCCGACUGCGAAGGCAGCUUACUAAGCUGUGACUGACAUUGAUGCUCGAAAGUGUGGGUAUCAAACAGGAUUAGAUACCCGAGUAGUC
rnacentral:rRNA from 1 species